UAUAUAUAUAUAUAUAUAUAUAUAUAAUCAGGCAAUAAUCUAGUAGCUCUGCAUUGGCAAGACUUGAAAAAAUAUAGAAAAAAGCUAAAGGGGUACAGUGAACUUGCCAUGAGGAGUGGAAUAUCCAACGUUUCGGAUUCAAUCCUUAAUCCAUGGCUGUGUGGUA